GAUGAACGCUGGCGGCGUGCCUAAUACAUGCAAGUCGAGCGAACAGACGAGGAGCUUGCUCCUCUGACGUUAGCGGCGGACGGGUGAGUAACACGUGGAUAACCUACCUCUAAGACUGGGAUAACUUCGGGAAACCGGAGCUAAUAACGGAUAAUAUCUUGAACCGCAUGGUUCAAUAGAGAAAGACGGUUUUGCUGUCACUUAUAGAUGGAUCCGCGCCGCAUUAGCUAGUUGGUAAGGUAACGGCUUACCAAGGCGACGAUGCGUAGCCGACCUGAGAGGGUGAUCGGCCACACUGGAACUGGGACACGGUCCAGACUCCUGCGGGAGGCAGCAGUAGGGAAUCUUCCGCAAUGGGCGAAAGCCUGACGGAGCAACGCCGCGUGAGUGAUGAAGGUCUUCGGAUCGUAAAGCUCUGUUAUGAGGGAAGAACAAAUGUGUAAGUAACUAUGCACGUCUUGACGGUACCUAAUCAGAAAGCCACGGCUAACUACGUG
rnacentral:rRNA from 1 species